AUAGUACUCUCUCCGUCCCAAAAUUCUUGUCUUAAAUUUAUCUAAAUACAGAUGUAUCAAGUCAUGUUUUAGUAUUAGAUACAUCCGUAUCUAGACGAAUCUAAGACAAGAAUUUUGAAACGAAGGAAGUAUAAA
rnacentral:pre_miRNA from 1 species